GAUGAACGCUGGCGGCGUGCCUAAUACAUGCAAGUAGAACGCUGAAGGAGGAGCUUGCUCUUCUGGAUGAGUUGCGAACGGGUGAGUAACGCGUAGGUAACCUGCCUGGUAGCGGGGGAUAACUAUUGGAAACGAUAGCUAAUACCGCAUGACAACAGUUAUUGCAUGAUAACUGUUUAAAAGGGGCAACUGCUCCACUACCAGAUGGACCUGCGUUGUAUUAGCUAGUUGGUGAGGUAGCGGCUCACCAAGGCGACGAUACAUAGCCGACCUGAGAGGGUGAUCGGCCACACUGGGACUGAGACACGGCCCAGACUCCUACGGGAGGCAGCAGUAGGGAAUCUUCGGCAAUGGACGGAAGUCUGACCGAGCAACGCCGCGUGAGUGAAGAAGGUUUUCGGAUCGUAAAGCUCUGUUGUAAGAGAAGAACGAGUGUGAGAGUGGAAAGUUCACACUGUGACGGUAUCUUACCAGAAAGGGACGGCUAACUACGUG
rnacentral:rRNA from 1 species